rnacentral:rRNA from 1 species
UACGAAGGGGGCUAGCGUUGCUCGGAAUCACUGGGCGUAAAGGGUGCGUAGGCGGUUCGUUAAGUCUGUCGUGAAAUCCCCGGGCUCAACCUGGGAAUGGCGAUGGAUACUGGGCAGCUAGAGUGUGUCAGAGGAUGGUGGAAUUCCCGGUGUAGCGGUGAAAUGCGUAGAGAUCGGGAGGAACAUCAGUGGCGAAGGCGGCCAUCUGGGACAACACUGACGCUGAAGAACGAAAGCGUGGGGAGCAAACAGG